CGAACGGGUGAGUAACGCGUGAGGAACCUGCCUCAAAGAGGGGACAACAGUUGGAAACGACUGCUAAUACCGCAUAAGCCCACGGGUCGGCAUCGAUCUGAGGGAAAAGGAGUGAUCCGCUUUGAGAUGGCCUCGCGUCCGAUUAGCUAGUUGGUGAGGUAACGGCCCACCAAGGCGACGAUCGGUAGCCGGACUGAGAGGUUGAACGGCCACAUUGGGACUGAGACACGGCCCAG
rnacentral:rRNA from 1 species